GGUCCGGUGGCCUAGUGGUUAGAGCGUCCGCCUCGGGUGUGGGAGUUUGUUGGUUCGAUCCCCGGUCAAGUCA